AUUUGGUUAGGAUUUGAUUUAGGGUUUAGGAUUUGAUUAGGAUCUGAUUUAGGAUUUUAUUAGAAUUUGGUUUAGGAUUUAGGAUUUUUUUAGGAUUUUUUUAGGGUUUAAGAUUUAGUUAGUUUUUGGCCUAAAGUUUGAAUGAAGUCCAAUAGGAUUUUAACUAGGAUUAAAUUAAGAUUAAAUUGAGAUGUAUUUGAAAUAUAUUUGUGAUCUUUCUAAUAUUUUUUUAAGAUUUUUUAUUAUUUCUUUAUAAUUCCUUUGAGGUUUUUUAAAUUUGAUUAAAGCUU
rnacentral:lncRNA from 1 species